UACGGGGGGGGGCAAGCGUUUGUUCGGAAUUACUGGGCGUAAAGGGCGCGUAGGCGGUUGGAUAAGUCAGCUGUGAAAACCACGAGCUUAACUCGUGGCCUGCAGUUGAGACUGUCUGGCUUGAGUGUGGGAGAGGAGAGUGGAAUUCCUGGUGUAGCGGUGAAAUGCGUAGAUAUCAGGAGGAACACCGGUGGCGAAGGCGGCUCUCUGGGGCCUUACCUGACGCUGGAGGAGCGAAAGCGUGGGGAGCGAACAGG
rnacentral:rRNA from 1 species